rnacentral:rRNA from 1 species
AUAUACAGGAAUACGGCAGAGAUGUCGUAGCCGCAAGGUCUGUAUACAGGUGGUGCAUGGUUGUCGUCAGCUCGUGUCGUGAGAUGUUGGGUUAAGUCCCGGCAACGAGCGCAACCCUCGUUCUGUGUUGCCAGCAUUUAGUUGGGGACUCACAGGAGACUGCCGGGGUUAACUCGGAGGAAGGUGGGGAUGACGUCAAAUCAUCAUGCCCCUUAUGUCUUGGGCUGCACGCAUGCUACAAUGGCUGGUACAAACGGCUGCAAUACCGCAAGGUGGAGCGAAUCCGAGAAAGCCAGUCUCAGUUCGGAUUGGGGUCUGCAACUCGACCCCAUGAAGUCGGAGUUGCUAGUAAUCGUAGAUCAGCAACGCUACGGUGAAUACGUUCCCGGGGCUUGUACACACCGCCCGUCACGUCACGAAAGUC